rnacentral:rRNA from 1 species
UGAGUAACCUGCCCUUGACUCUGGGAUAAGCCUGGGAAACUGGGUCUAAUACCGGAUAUGACCUUCCAUCGCAUGGUGGUUGGUGGAAAGCUUUUGUGGUUUUGGAUGGACUCGCGGCCUAUCAGCUUGUUGGUGGGGUAAUGGCCUACCAAGGCGACGACGGGUAGCCGGCCUGAGAGGGUGACCGGCCACACUGGGACUGAGACACGGCCCAGACUCCUACGGGAGGCAGCAGUGGGGAAUAUUGCACAAUGGGCGCAAGCCUGAUGCAGCGACGCCGCGUGAGGGAUGACGGCCUUCGGGUUGUAAACCUCUUUCAGUAGGGAAGAAGCGAAAGUGACGGUACCUGCAGAAGAAGCGCCGGCUAACUACGUGCCAGCAGCCGCGGUAAUACGUAGGGCGCAAGCGUUAUCCGGAAUUAUUGGGCGUAAAGAGCUCGUAGGCGGUUUGUCGCGUCUGCCGUGAAAGUCCGGGGCUCAACUCCGGAUCUGCGGUGGGUACGGGCAGACUAGAGUGAUGUAGGGGAGACUGGAAUUCCUGGUGUAGCGGUGAAAUG